rnacentral:rRNA from 1 species
CCUACGGGAGGCAGCAGUGGGGAAUAUUGGACAAUGGGGGGAACCCUGAUCCAGCCAUGCCGCGUGUGUGAAGAAGGCCCUCGGGUUGUAAAGCACUUUCAGUGAGGAAGAACGCCUGGUGGUUAAUACCCAUCAGGAAAGACAUCACUCACAGAAGAAGCACCGGCUAACUCCGUGCCAGCAGCCGCGGUAAUACGGAGGGUGCGAGCGUUAAUCGGAAUUACUGGGCGUAAAGCGCGCGUAGGUGGCUUGAUAAGCCGGUUGUGAAAGCCCCGGGCUCAACCUGGGAACGGCAUCCGGAACUGUCAAGCUAGAGUGCAGGAGAGGAAGGUAGAAUUCCCGGUGUAGCGGUGAAAUGCGUAGAGAUCGGGAGGAAUACCAGUGGCGAAGGCGGCCUUCUGGACUGACACUGACACUGAGGUGCGAAAGCGUGGGUAGCAAACAGGAUUAGAUACUCGUGUAGUC